rnacentral:rRNA from 1 species
AGCGUAGACGACAAGGCAAGUCUGAUGUGAAAACCCAGGGCUUAACCCUGGGACUGCAUUGGAAACUGUCUGGCUCGAGUGCCGGAGAGGUAAGCGGAAUUCCUAGUGUAGCGGUGAAAUGCGUAGAUAUUAGGAAGAACACCAGUGGCGAAGGCGGCUUACUGGACGGUAACUGACGUUGAGGCUCGAAAGCGUGGGGAGCAAACA